rnacentral:rRNA from 1 species
CCUACGGGAGGCAGCAGUGGGGGAUAUUGCACAAUGGGGGAAACCCUGAUGCAGCGACGCCGCGUGUGGGAAGACGGUCCUCUGGAUUGUAAACCACUGUCCCCAGGGACGAAGAUGCCGGUACCUGGGGAGGAAGCUCCGGCAAACUACUGGCCAGCAGCCGCGGUAAUACGUAGGGAGCGAUGGUUGUCCGGAAUUCCUGGGUGUAAGGGGAGCGUAGGGGGGUAUUGAAGUUGGGGGUCAAAACUACCGGCUCAACUGGUAGUCGCACUCAAAACUGCAGCUCUUGAGUGAAGUAGAGGCAAGCGGAAUGCCUAGUGUAGCGGUGAAAUGCGUAGAUAUUAGGAGGAACACCAGUUGCGAAGGCGGCCUGCUGGGCUUUUACUGACGCUGAGGCUCGAAAGUGUGGGGAGCAAACAGGAUUAGAUACCCUUGUAGUC